rnacentral:rRNA from 1 species
AUUGAACGCUGGCGGCAGGCUUAACACAUGCAAGUCGAGCGAGCGGCGGACGGGGGAGAAAUGUCUGGGAAACUGCCCGAUGGAGGGGGAUAACUCCUGGAAACGGUAGCUAAUACCGCAUAUCACAAGAGGUGUCCCGAUGGGAUUAGCGAGUAGGUGGGGUAACGGCUCACCUAGGCGAAGAUCCCUAGCUGGUCUGAGAGGAUGACCAGCCACACUGGAACUGAGACACGGUCCAGACUCCGACGGGAGGCAGCAGUGGGGAAUAUUGCACAAUGGGCGCAAGCCUGAUGCAGCCAUGCCGCGUGUGUGAAGAAGGCCUUCGGGUUGUAAAGCACUUUCAGCGGGGAGGCGUUACCCGCAGAAGAAGCACCGGCUAACUCCGUGCCAGCAGCCGCGGUAAUUC